rnacentral:rRNA from 1 species
AGGAAUAUUGGUCAAUGGGCGUAAGCCUGAACCAGCCAAGUAGCGUGAGGGAAGACUGCCCUAUGGGUUGUAAACCUCUUUUGUGCGGGGAUAAAGUGUGGGACGUGUCCCAUAUUGCAGGUACCGCACGAAUAAGGACCGGCUAAUUCCGUGCCAGCAGCCGCGGUAAUACGGAAGGUCCGGGCGUUAUCCGGAUUUAUUGGGUUUAAAGGGAGCGCAGGCCGUCCUUUAAGCGUGCUGUGAAAUGCCGCGGCUCAACCGUGGCACUGCAGCGCGAACUGGAGGACUUGAGUACGCACGAGGUAGGCGGAAUUCGUGGUGUAGCGGUGAAAUGCUUAGAUAUCACGAAGAACUCCGAUUGCGAAGGCAGCUUACCGGAGCGCAACUGACGCUGAGGCUCGAAAGCGCGGGUAUCGAACAGGAUUAGAUACCCUGGUAGUCCGCGCGGUAAACGAUGGAUGCCCGCCGUUGGGAUUUAGAUUUCAGCGGCCAAGCGAAAGCGUUAAGCAUCCCACCUGGGGAGUACGCCGGCAACGGUGAAACUCAAAGGAAUUGACGGGGGCCCGCACAAGCGGAGGAACAUGUGGUUUAAUUCGAUGAUACGCGAGGAACCUUACCCGGGCUUGAAUUGCAGGAGAACGAUCCAGAGAUGGUGAGGCCCUUCGGGGCUCCUGUGAAGGUGCUGCAUGGUUGUCGUCAGCUCGUGCCGUGAGGUGUCGGCUCAAGUGCCAUAACGAGCGCAACCCCUGUCCAUAGUUGCCAUCAGGUCGUGCUGGGCACUCUGUGGAGACUGCCGCCGUAAGGUGUGAGGAAGGUGGGGAUGACGUCAAAUCAGCACGGCCCUUACGUCCGGGGCUACACACGUGUUACAAUGGGGCAUACAGCGAGUUAGAUGUGCGCAAGUACGUCCGGAUCAAUAAAGUGCCUCUCAGUUCGGACUGGGGUCUGCAACCCGACCCCACGAAGCUGGAUUCGCUAGUAAUCGCGCAUCAGCCAUGGCGCGGUGAAUACGUUCCCG